AAACGUAGACGAAAGCUACGCUAAUACCGCAUACGAUCGUACGGAUAGAAAGGCGGGGGAUCGCAAGACCUCGCGCGAUUGGAGCGGCCGAUAUCAGAUUAGGUAGUUGGUGAGGUAAAGGCUCACCAAGCCGACGAUCUGUAGCUGGUCUGAGAGGACGACCAGCCACACUGGGACUGAGACACGGCCCAGACUCCUACGGGAGGCAGCAGGUGGGGAAUUUUGGACAAUGGGCGCAAGCCUGAUCCAGCAAUGCCGCGUGCAGGAUGAAGGCCUUCGGGUUGUAAACUGCUUUUGUACGGAACGAAACGGUGAGCUCUAAUACAGUUUGCUAAUGACGGUACCGUAAGAAUAAGCACCGGCUAACUACGUG
rnacentral:rRNA from 1 species